UACGUAGGGUGCGAGCGUUAAUCGGAAUUACUGGGCGUAAAGCGUGCGCAGGCGGCGCGUUAAGACAGGUGUGAAAGCCCCGAGCUUAACUUGGGAACUGCGCUUGUGACUGGCGUGCUGGAGUGUGGCAGAGGGAGGUGGAAUUCCACGUGUAGCAGUGAAAUGCGUAGAUAUGCGGAGGAACACCGGUGGCGAAGGCGGCGACCUGGGUAGAUACUGACGCUGAGGCGCGAAAGCGUGGGGAGCAAACAGG
rnacentral:rRNA from 1 species